GAUCGACAAUAGCAAACUUGGUGAAAGCCAAGGACGCAAAGCUAUGGGUCUUCCAGGAAACACCUGAUGAUUGCCAAGCUACCGAA
rnacentral:ncRNA from 1 species